UAGAAUGUGGUGUAAAGGAAACACAAGGGAUUUUGAGUUCUUGGAUGCGGGUUCGAGUCCUGUUGUUCUAG
rnacentral:tRNA from 1 species